rnacentral:lncRNA from 1 species
UCACUAGUUUAUGAGCUAUACAAAUUGUAUUUAGCUCUAGCUAUAAGUAUGAAAAAACUGUAUAAUUAGACAUAUAGUUUUAAUCACUUUUAUUCCCUAAAGAAUAUAUUUUCAUAUAGAUUAAACUCUAAUGUAUUUAAUUAGAACUAUAAUGUUUUGGGUAUGGGAUUUUGUGAUUCUUCUGUUGCUCUCCUACUUGUGGCUAAAAUGCAUUGUUAUCUAUAAUAUUACUCUAAGUAGAUUUUUUUUUUUUAAGAUUUAAGUGUACCAUAUGAUACUUCAGAUAUUAAAUAAACUAAAACUUGGAUAUUUACUGUAUUUUUGUAUAAAUACAUUCAAGAUACCUCAGAUAUUAAAUAAACUCUAGUACAC